rnacentral:rRNA from 1 species
AUUGAACGCUGGCGGCAUGCCUUACACAUGCAAGUCGAACGGCAGCACGGGAGCAAUCCUGGUGGCGAGUGGCGAACGGGUGAGUAAUAUAUCGGAACGUGCCCGGUCGUGGGGGAUAACGUAGCGAAAGCUACGCUAAUACCGCAUACGAUCUACGGAUGAAAGCGGGGGGAUCGCAAGACCUCGCGCGAUUGGAGCGGCCGAUAUCAGAUUAGGUAGUUGGUGAGGUAAAGGGCUCACCAAGCCGACGAUCUGUAGCUGGUCUGAGAGGACGACCAGCCACACUGGGACUGAGACACGGCCCAG